rnacentral:rRNA from 1 species
CACCGCGGUUAUACGAGAGACCCAAGUCGAUGGUCUUCGGCGUAAAGAGUGGUUAAGAUUCAAUUAAAACUAAAGCCAAACGACUUCAUAGCUGUUAUACGCACAUGAAGAGAUGAAACCCAACCACGAAAGUGGCUUUAAAUUUCUGACCCCACGAAAGCUAUGGAA